UGAUGACUUUUCCGGAAUCGCUGCAAUCUCUGUGAUGAUUCUUUGUUGAACCCUUUUCCACCUGAUGGCUGUCCUGGCUCUGC
rnacentral:snoRNA from 1 species